UACGGAGGGUGCAAGCGUUAUCCGGAUUCACUGGGGUUAAAGGGUGCGUAGGUGGGCAGGUAAGUCCGUGGUGAAAUCUCUGAGCCUAACUCAGAAACUGCCGUGGAUACUAUUUGUCUUGAAUAUUGUGGAGGUGAGCGGAAUAUGUCAUGUAGCGGUGAAAUGCUUAGAUAUGACAUAGAACACCAAUUGCGAAGGCAGCUCACUACACAAUUAUUGACGCUGAGGCACGAAAGCGUGGGGAUCAAACAGG
rnacentral:rRNA from 1 species